rnacentral:rRNA from 1 species
GGAUGAGCCCGCGGCCUAUCAGCUUGUUGGUGAGGUAAUGGCCUACCAAGGCGUCGACGGGUAGCCGGCCUGAGAGGGCGACCGGCCACACUGGGACUGAGACACGGCCCAGACUCCUACGGGAGGCAGCAGUGGGGAAUAUUGCACAAUGGGCAAAAGCCUGAUGCAGCGACGCCACGUGAGGGAUGACGGCCUUCGGGUUGUAAACCUCUUUCAGCAGGGAAGAAGCGCAAGUGACGGUACCUGCAGAAGAAGCGCCGGCUAACUACGUGACAGCAGCCGCGGCCG